rnacentral:rRNA from 1 species
GAUGAACGCUGGCGGCGUGCCUAAUACAUGCAAGUCGAGCGAACGGACGAGAAGCUUGCUUCUCUGAUGUUAGCGGCGGACGGGUGAGUAACACGUGGAUAACCUACCUAUAAUACUGGGAUAACUUCGGGAAACCGGAGCUAAUACCGGAUAAUAUUUUGAACCGCAUGGUUCAAAAGUGAAAGACGGUCUUGCUGUCACUUAUAGAUGGAUCCGCGCUGCAUUAGCUAGUUGGUAAGGUAACGGCUUACCAAGGCAACGAUGCAUAGCCGACCUGAGAGGGUGAUCGGCCACACUGGAACUGAGACACGGUCCAGACUCCUACGGGAGGCAGCAGUAGGGAAUAUUCCGCAAUGGGCGAAAGCAUGACGGAGCAACGCCGCGUGAGUGAUGAAGGUCUUCGGAUCGUAAAACUCUGUUAUUAGGGAAGAACAUAUGUGUAAGUAACUGUGCACAUCUUGACGGUACCUAAUCAGAAAGCCACGGCUAACUACGUG